rnacentral:rRNA from 1 species
GAUGAACGCUGGCGGCGUGCCUAAUACAUGCAAGUCGAGCGAACAGAUGAGGAGCUUGCUCCUCUGACGUUAGCGGCGGACGGGUGAGUAACACGUGGAUAACCUACCUAUAAGACUGGGAUAACUUCGGGAAACCGGAGCUAAUACCGGAUAAUAUAUUGAACCGCAUGGUUCAAUAGUGAAAGACGGUUUUGCUGUCACUUAUAGAUGGAUCCGCGCCGCAUUAUCUAGUUGGUAAGGUAACGGCUUACCAAGGCAACGAUGCGUAGCCGACCUGAGAGGGGGAUCGGCCACACUGGAACUGAGACACGGUCCAGACGCCUACGGGAGGCAGCAGUAGGGAAUCUUCCGCAAUGGGCGAAAGCCUGACGGAGCAACGCCGCGUGAGUGAUGAAGGUCUUCGGAGCGUAAAACUCUGUUAUGAGGGAAGAACAAAUGUGUAAGUAACUAUGCACGUCUUGACGGUACCUAAUCAGAAAGCCACGGCUAACUACGUG